GGGGUUAGUAUGGAGAACUCAAAUAAAACAACAUUUUAAGCUCACAUAUUUCAGUUUGUUUGAUAAUGUUAUAAUAUUAAGUUGUCAACUUAUUUAAAUAACAACAACAGAAUAUUAAGUUGGUAAUACUUAAUUUCCUGUUGAGCAUUCUUGUAAAGGGGCAGCCACAUCGGAAAGACAGACCACGGCAGAGGAGGAAAAUAACGUACGAAGCUCAUUUAAGAACUUCGUUCUUUGGAUGAAGAUGAUGACAUCACCGGCGAGGUCUUGAAAAUUGUCGUCACAAGAAGGACUACACCAGUUCGCGCAGGCAUCGUGGUUGAGGGAACUGAAGUCCUUGGAGACCUUGAUGUUCCCAGAGCGUGCGCCUUGCUCAUGGGACUGAUAUAUGCCCUGAACAUCACUUACCCAAAAGGUCUAAGGAACACCUUAGAGGUAUUUCAGAAACUAUUCCUUGAGCUUGAUGCCCUGAAAGCGAGUCCAAAGGUAAUGUCUUUGAGAAAUAAACUUCUGAUGUAAAAAGUGUGAAGAACUUGGCAGGAAUUGUUCGUCCAAAACAGUGGUAUUGAACUUCAGGCCUGGAGGAUUGACGUCCUGCUGGUUUUCGACGUAUUUCUGCAUCAUGAUUACCUGAUCUGGUUUGUCCAGCCAGUUAGAAGCAAGAAUGGGGAAUCAAGGAGGGCAUUUGGUGGAAGAGAAGGGUUCAUUUUGGUUUCCACCAAAGUCCUCUUUUCUGCUUUUGAUUGGCUGAACACACGUGACCAGGUGAUUAGCAGGAAGUAGAGCAGGAAAACCCAGAAAACCAGCAAGACAUCUGUCCUCAAAGCCUGAAAUUUGACCCAAGUUCUGAAAAGAAAUGUUACUGUCCUGCUGAGUUUUUUUGUUUUUUGAUGUACAUGUAGCAGCUACAAUGUUAACUGUUAGCAUGUUAACAAAUGUUUAAGUAAAGCAGCUUCAACAAGUCUGAAAAAAACAGUUUUACGUAUGUUUGAAUUUUUAAGGUCUUGUGUCACUGAAGUAUUUUUUUUUUAUUUGUACAAUAUGCAGGAUAUAUUGCUGAAGUUGCCACCAAUAUUUGUUUACUUUUUGGGGAUCUUCAAUUUUUUCAGAAGCAUAUGAAACAUGCAUUCAUAAAGUGGAUCGCUUUUUUAUUUUUUAUUUUUUUUUUUUUCGUGACAUACUUCAAAAAAAGUGUAUUGUUGAAAAAGAUUGUACAGUAAAAAAUUGAAGCACAAACUAGAAUGGUGGUGUUUGUUCCAACUGAGGUAAAUAAGUUCACAGUACAGCAAAAAUUAAGGUAACAAUUUGCAUGGACUUUUUUGAGUUAAAGUUAAGCUAAAAAUUAAGUUGAAAUAGCUUAAAUAAAAUAAUUUGCUAACUAGCAUUCACCAAAGGUUUUUAUGUAAAAAUGCAAAAUAAUUUAUGCUUGCAGAACCAAGAAAAUGAAGUUGAUCAAACUAAAAAAAUUUAGUUGAAAUAGCUUAAAUAAAAUAAUUUGCCAACUUAAAUUCACCGAAAGAUUUU